AGCUUGAAUCAGUAGGUGCCACUCAAUUGUGGGGAUGGAAAUGAAAAAAGAUAAUGUUGUAUAGAUGGGCAGCCCGCUGUAAUUUGUGCCUAGCCUAUGCUAGUAUAUAAAGGUUUGGAUCAUAUAAUGGUUGCGGAUCAAAUCAGGUCAUUGAGUAUAAGAUCCAUAUAAAUCUAAAAAUUCAGGUGGGUCGGAUUGGAUCG
rnacentral:lncRNA from 1 species